rnacentral:snRNA from 1 species
GACGUGUUCCAUAUUUUAUACAAAAAUUGGAACGAUGCAGAGAAGAUUAGCAUGGCCCCUGCGCAACGAUGACACACAAAUUCAUGGCACCCUGUCCUU